CCAGUUGGUCAAGAGGGGAAGGUGUGAGGAUAGACAAUGAUUAGAAACCGUUGUAUUUCACGCCUUAACGGCUACCAUGUAGGCAGUGGGGCGGCAAGUGCUCACAGCCCCAAGGAACCGAAAAGGGAACAAGACUCUGGGGGAAGUAUGGAUGCAAGUGUGGAACUUGAAGGUAUUGACGGAGAGAUACCACCAGACGUGGAGUCUGCGGCUCAAAAUGACUCAACACGCAAAUCUUACCAGACCCAGAUGCUUUACGGAGCAACAGACUAAGAGAUCUUUUGCGAUUAGGCAGUUGGUGGUGCAUGGCCGCUCCUAGUUCGUGGUGUUAACUGUCUGCUUUAUUGCGAUAACGAGCGAGAUGACCAGGCUAAGUUAUUACACGAGCGCCGGCGAUAAGCCAGCAUAAAGGGUAGUAAUACAAGC
rnacentral:rRNA from 1 species